rnacentral:rRNA from 1 species
CUUCGGGGUGGUGAAAGUGGCGCACGGGUGAGUAACGCGUGGAUAAUCUGCCCGAGGAUUUGGGAUAACNUCUCGAAAGGGGUGCUAAUACCGAAUAAGCCCACGGGGUCUACGGAUCUUGAGGGAAAAGGGGGGGACCUUCGGGCCUCCUGUCCUUGGAUGAGUCUGCGUACCAUUAGCUAGUUGGUGGGGUAAUGGCCUACCAAGGCGACGAUGGUUAGCUGGUCUGAGAGGAUGAUCAGCCACACUGGAACUGAGACACGGUCCAGACUCCUACGGGAGGCAGCAGUGGGGAAUUUUGCGCAAUGGGGGAAACCCUGACGCAGCAACGCCGCGUGGGUGAUGAAGGCCUUCGGGUCGUAAAGCUCUGUCUGGAGGGAAGAAAUGAUUGGGAGCUAAUACCUCUUGAUCUUGACGGUACCUCUGAAGGAAGCACCGGCUAACUCCGUGCC